UACGCCCCUUGCAGUUUCCCUGAGGUGUGCUGUCCUCGCGCCGCGGUACCGCUGCUCCUCGCCCACAGCCGGUAUGGCCGGCGGCGCGUGAUGCCGCUCGGCUUCGCCGCUCCCCGCCCGCGGCUGGUCCGGCCAGGCAAACACGCGCGGCCGGCCCAGCUUCACCGCUCCUCACCCACGGCCGCUCCCGCGCCACCGCUGCCUGCCCUGUGCCCUGGCUCCUCGCUCGCGGCGAGCCAUGCGGCGGCCGUCGCUCCCCGCCCGCGGCUAGACCGGCGUCGUUGCUCCCAGCCCGGGGUCGUUCCGGCCAGGCGAACGCGCGCGGCCGGUCCGGCUUCGCCGCUCCUCGCCCACGACCGAUCCGGCGCUGCCGCGGCCUGCCCUGCGCCCUGGCUCCUCGCUCGCGGCGGGCAGGCGGCGGCCGUCGCUCCCCGCCCGCGGUCUGCCCUGCGCCCCGACUCCUCGCUCGCGGCGGGCUAGGCGGCGGCCGUCGCUCCCCGCCCGCGGUCUGCCCUGCGCCCCGACUCCUCGCUUGCGGCCGGCCAGGCGGCGGCCGUCGCUCCCCGCCCGUGGCCGGUCCGACCAGGCGGCGCGCGCGGCCGGCCCAGCUUCGCCGCUCCUCGCCCACGGCCGGUCCGGCGCACCCACUGACCUCCCGCCAUCGGGAACCCGAGCAUCGUCGCUCAUCUAGCGCUGGCGCGAGAUCGAGGCCGUAGGCCCCAUCACAGCACGGCCCGUCUGCGGCAUUCCACGUCGGUCUUUUUCUCCCGGAACCGCUUCCCGCCGCACUACGCCGCCAUCUCCGAGUCCAGCGUCCCGGCGGAGCUCUUCUUGCAGCGUUCCAUCGUCAAGUGCAUCGUCUGUGGUGCUACCGGGGCCCCCUUGGAAGGCCGUCUCACUACUGCCCGAGCACGUGCUCGCUAUAUAUACAACGAGCUGUGCAACUUCAGAUUCAGGGUCCAAGUUCAGACCUUUGAGCUCCCUCUUAGAGCACGAACGGCCAGCGCGACAGGGACAACGAUUGUGCCAGAAGGGGUUUGGAUCGAGCUCCCUCGAUGCAAUUGCCCCCAUCUUCAUGUAGUUUCACUUGAUGCCAAGGGAGCAGCAGGAACAAUAUCUGGGCAGCGGUGAGUUGCAUCUUACACUUCAUGGUUUCUUUGCUCGCGGCCGUUUCUUUGUUUCCGUGCCUCUUUGAUGCAACACAGCAUGGCCAACAGCUGCACCGCUGCAAUUCCAUCCCCUGCUGCCUACAAGUGCUUCGUCCAUGGAGGAUUUACACCAUGUGUUUGAUGGUUUGCUUGUGCAACCUGUGCUUCGGCCAUGGAGGAUGCAGGCUAUGUGUUUGAUGGUUUGCCUCUGCAGCACUGACCAAUUAACCAUGCUAGAUUUAGCUAACAGGGAGUCCUAUUUGAUGAAAAGAAUACACAUUCAGGCUACUUGCCUUGUCUAAGACAAUGUUUCUAGGUCGGAUAUGAAUUUUAUUUUUGAAGCAAUAAUUUAAACAAGUUAAAAAUACCAUGGAUAUGAUGCUCCUUGUCGGUCUCACACCAAAAAAAGCUCAGAGAAAAUCACAUAUUUGCAUUAACAAAAGAACAAUCAUUCUUUAUCCUUUGCAAUUAAGCUCACCAUAUGCUUUUGUGGCAUGGUCUUAUCAUGAUGUAACCAUACUUUAUUUCAUAUAGAGAUUUUCUGGCCAAGAUUUAUACCACCAGCUGUAGGUGAUGAUACUAUCCUUAAUCAUGACGUUUUGCAAUUAGUUUUCUUGAGUGCUGCUGUAUCUCUAUAGUAGCUAUUGCUAUUCUUCUAUCCUUAUAGACCAUUUUAGUUAAAUAGUGCACCUAUUUAUAUAUGAUUCCACGCCAGAGAAUCAGAUGGUGACAGUUCUUUUUUUAGCCAUAGGGAAACUUAGAAAUAUACUAGCUAGCGACCCAACGGUGUCGAAUGCUCUUCUCCAUUCUUACUUUUUAUGUUCUUCCUUUUCUGGUUAUUGUAUAUUGUUGGUUGUUGCCUCUGAUUGAACUUAGAUCUAAUUUGAUUCCAUAAUGUUUCUUCUUCUUUGGUCACUAUCCUUUUGUUUGCCCCUCUUUUUUAAAGUUGAAUAGCAAUGCAUGUUCAGGUCUGAUUUAGUUGGUCAGGUAUGUUUCUGAAUCCGUGCCUGCAUCUUUAGAUUAGAUCUGUUUUCGUUAUUUCCCCCUUUGAUGGCUGUUCCAUGGGUUGCUCUUCAUUUUUUUGCCUCUUGGUUAGUGCUGAUUUAUCUUCAUAUAAUUUUCUAGCUAGCGCUUGUUUUUCUAUACCCAAGACUUCCGCUGUCAAGUCCACAUUAGAGUCAGGCACUGCGCCUCCACGGGUCCAUCAGCUACAGCUAGCGGAGCAGCAUGUGAACGCAAGAAAAUGAAGCCACUGCCUGCUCCCCAAUUGAAAAACUGUACCCUGUCAGCUGCAAUGGAUCCAAAUUUCCUCCAAUGGCCUCCUUUAUUGUCAGCUCCAUUAUGAACACGAAGAAACAAGGUAUCUCCUGCCAGGUCAGGUGCAAAGGUAAUCAGAAGCUAAUGGAACUGGAGAAAUAGCUAUUGGACUGUUAACUGGUGGUAAAAUUCAAGUUCCUGCUAUUGAAGUAUAGCAGCUCGUUUAUUUGGUUCCUCACUUUGCCUUAUAAUUGCAGUGCCAAUAGCUGUAGAAUUGCUGCACUUCCCUGAAGACGAAGUGAGCAUGUUGAACCCAAUCGUCAGAAUUCCAGCCGAAUCUGACGGAAUGAAACAUUUUAUUAGAGUCCUGUGCUACUGCGUCUUGACCUACAGGCCUAAUGCUGCCUGGGUCUAUGUUCAGUUUCCUAUCAUAAUGAACUUCUUAGUUAAUUUGAUGUAUCACUGCAGCUAAAACUUCAAGACUGCUGGUUCCUUAUGUUCAGUUUCCUACCAUAAUGAACUUAGUUAAUUUGAUGUAUCACUGCAGCUAAACCUUCAAGACUACUGGUUCCUUUCUUUCAGAGUUA